UACGGAGGAUGCAAGCGUUAUCCGGAAUCAUUGGGCGUAAAGGGUCCUGAGGUGGUUUGCUAAGUCUACUGUGAAAGAUCAGGGCUCAACCCUGAAGAUGCGGUGGAAACUGGCAGGCUAGAAUACGGUAGGGGCAGGGGGAAUUCCCGGUGUAGCGGUGAGAUGCAUAGAUAUCGGGAAGAACACCAAAGGCGAAGGCACCCUGCUGGGCCGAUAUUGACACUGACAGACGAAAGCUAGGGGAGCAAAUGGG
rnacentral:rRNA from 1 species